GUCGCAUGCUCCCGGCCGCCAUGGCGGCCGCGGGAAUUCGAUUAGAGUUUGAUCAUGGCUCAGGAUGAACGCUAGCGGCAGGCUUAAUACAUGCAAGUCGAGGGGUAACAUGGGUAGCAAUACCUGAUGACGACCGGCAAACGGGUGCGGAACACGUACGCAACCUUCCCAAAACUGGUGAAUAGCCCUCCGAAAGGAGGAUUAAUACACCGUAAGAUAAUGAGACGGCAUCGUUUUAUUAUUAUAGGCAGCAAUGUCGGUUUUGGAUGGGCGUGCGCCUGAUUAGGUAGUUGGCGGGGUAACGGCCCACCAAGCCUGCGAUCAGUAACUGGUGUGAGAGCACGACCAGUCACACGGGCACUGAGACACGGGCCCGACUCCUACGGGAGGCAGCAGUAAGGAAUAUUGGACAAUGGGCGAAAGCCUGAUCCAGCCAUGCCGCGUGAGUGAAGAAGGCCUUCGGGUUGUAAAGCUCUUUCGGCGGGGACGAUGAUGACGGUACCCGCAUAAGAAGCCCCGGCAAACUUCGUGCCAGCAGCCGCGGUAAUACGAAUCACUAGUGAAUUCGCGGCCGCCUGCAGGUCGACCAUAUGGGAGAGCUCCCA
rnacentral:rRNA from 1 species